rnacentral:tRNA from 1 species
UAGCUUAGUUGGUUAGAGCGUUGUGAUAAUAACUCCAAAAUCAUGGGUUCGAGUCUUGGCCAUU